UUCAUUCUGAGUUACUGUUCUAUUAUUGUUAGAUGCUAAUGGAGUCAUAUAAUACCCGUCUCUCUCAACCUUGAGACGGCGUACUUUCAUCUUUUUCCAUUCAUUUAUUCAACUUCUUCAAAUUAAAUCUUGCA
rnacentral:sRNA from 1 species